GUGUCAGCAGCCGCGGUAAUACGUAGGGUCCAAGCGUUAUCCGGAAUCACUGGGCGUAAAGCGUGCGUAGGCGGUUUGUUAAGUGAGAUGUGAAAGCGUGUGGCUCAACCAUAUCGUUGUGUCUCAUACUGGCAGACUAGAGGAAGGCAGAGGCAAGUGGAAUUAGCAGUGUAGCAGUGAAAUGCGUAGAGAUUGCUAGGAACACCAAUGGCGAAGGCAGCUUGCUGGGCCUUUUCUGACGCUGAGGUACGAAAGCGUGGGGAGCGAACAGGAUUAGAAACCCCCGUAGUCC
rnacentral:rRNA from 1 species